rnacentral:snRNA from 1 species
GUACUCACCUGGCAGGGGAGAUAAGUGAUCACGAAAGUGGUCUUCCCGAGUCGAGGCUUAUCCUCUGCACUCCAGAUGUGCCAGCCCUGUGAUUUCCCCAAAAGUGGGAAACUCGGCUGCAUCAUUUGUGGUCAUGGGGGCUGCAUUCAUACUUUCCUCUG